rnacentral:rRNA from 1 species
UACGAAGGGGGCGAGCGUUGUUCGGAUUUACUGGGCGUAAAGGGCGCGUAGGCGGCCUUGUCAGUCAGGCGUGAAAGCCCCGGGCUCAACCUGGGAACGGCGCUUGGGACGGCGAGGCUGGAGUUCGGGAGAGGAGAGUGGAAUUCCCAGUGUAGAGGUGAAAUUCGUAGAUAUUGGGAAGAACACCGGUGGCGAAGGCGGCUCACUGGCUCAUUACUGACGCUCAGGCGCGACAGCGUGGGGAUCAAACAGG